UUAAAACAAAGCAAAGACGACAUCCCUCACUCCGAGGCUUCCUCUGUGCGCCUGGAGCUUCAAAGUGAGGAGCGCGCUCGGCUCUUUCCGCCUGCGUUCGCCUCCUCAUUAAGAUUCCUCACUUGUGGGUGUGAUGCUGAAAGGAUCUCAGGCGCGCCGAGCGGAGACGCGCAGUGUCCCCGUGCGUUCAGGGGAGGAGGAGGAGGAGGAGGAGGCAUCAGCUGCCGGCAAGAGGAGAAGAGAAGGAGCGGAAGAAGAGAGAGCAGAGCCACAGAGCAGGCGACCAUUCCUCCACUGCUCCCUCCGCUGCGAGGCACCUGCAGAUAAAACCGCUCCUCUCCCUGCAGAUUGCUGUUUCUGAUCCUCCCCCCCCGCCCCCAAAGGCUGAAGCUCUCCAAUAUGUGUCGGAUCUAACGUCUCCGGAGAGAACCAGGAAUAUCUGACUCCCUUUUGGUGGAUGUGGACACCUAAACUGUGGACAUGGAGAAGAUAGUGAAUUUAUCCCUCUCGGUUCUGCUGGUUUUAUGGGGAUGCGCGCUCGGAGGCUCGCCCAGUGUUCAGAUCGGGGGACUCUUUCCAAGGGGCGCGGACCAAGAGUACAGCGCGUUUCGGAUAGGGAUGGUUCAGUUUGGCACUUCUGAAUUCAGAUUGACGCCUCACAUUGACAAUCUGGAAGUGGCGAACAGUUUUGCAGUCACCAAUUGUUGAGGUCUGUGAGGCGCAGACGAAGCCGUUGUACUCUGGUAAAGACUUAUUUUCCCCUGAUGGUCGACCUGCUCUGACGAAAGGCCUCAUGUGGAGCGUGGCCAACACAUCUCAGCAGCUGUUAGCUCGUCAGUUGUUUUCUAUAAUCACUCAAAAUCUUUAUAUCACAGCAUCCCGAUUUCCUGCCAAUAAUAUCUAAAAA